CGCCCGGCUGCCUGCGGGCGGCAAGUGCCCGCCGCGCUCCCCGGGCUCCCACUGGCAGCGGAAAGCGGCGGGAGGCCGCCGGUCCCGCGUUGUGCAGGCACGGCCACGGGCGGCACUGAAGGCGCGGAGGGGAGAAGCGGCUGAAGCACCGAAGUUGCAGGCGGCGGGCUGCACAGACGUGCCGCUCAGCCUGGAAGUGAAAGCGGCACGGCACCGGGAUUCGGCUGUCGCUCCCGCGGGGGCAGCGCUGCCCGGCGGCCGCUGACAACGCCCUGGAGGGACCCCGCCGCCGCUUCCCUCGGGGAAAGAUGAGACCAGCGCGUCUCGAUCCCCCCCACCGCUGGGGCAGCUCCUGCCUUUUCCAAAGCAGAGACGGCAUCAGCCGGCGCACCCUCGGAAGGCACAACGAGGGAAACCAGGCUCAGGCAUGCCAGGAGAUGACUGGGCCAUGCAAAAGGCCGAACUCAGAAGGUGGACAGCAAGAAAGGGCUUGAAGGAAGGAUUUAGAAACUGUCUGGGCAGCUCAUGGGGCCUGAAGAACAACUGGUCUUUAAUACUAAGACUGAAGCAAAGGAGUAAUGAAGCACACCAGCCUGUUCCUCAGCUUGUCACUAUGUUUCCCAUGCAGCCAAUAAAGGACAGUGAUUAUCCUUA